rnacentral:rRNA from 1 species
GAUGAACGCUGGCGGCGUGCCUAAUACAUGCAAGUCGAGCGAACAGUCGAGGAGCUUGCUCCUCUGACGUUAGCGGCGGACGGGUGCGUACCACGUGGAUAACCUACCUCUCAGACUGGGAUAACUUCGGGAAAUAGGAGCUAAUACCGGAUAAUAUAUUGAACCGCAUGGUUCACUAGUGAAAGACGGUUUUGCUGUCACUAAUAGCUGGAUCCGCGCCGCAUUAGCUACUUGGUAAGGUAACGGCUUACCAAGGCAGCGAUGCGUAGCCGACCUGAGCGGGUGAUCGGCCACACUGGAAGAGAGAAAGAGUCGAGACACCGACAGGAGGAAGCGGUAGGGAAUCUUCCGCGAAGGAGGAGAGGCUGACGGUGCAACGCGGCGUGAGGGAUGAAGGUCUUCGGAUCGUAGAACUCUGUUAGUAGGGAAGAACAAAUGUGCAAGUAACUAGGCACGUCUUGACGGUACCUGGUGAGAAAGCCACGGCUAACUACGUG